rnacentral:sRNA from 1 species
UAACUAUAGGGAGUGCCUGAGCGAUCAGGUCC